CUGUCUCUUGCUUCAACAGUUUGGACGGGACAG
rfam:Myotis brandtii contig200439, whole genome shotgun sequence.